rnacentral:lncRNA from 1 species
UUCUCAUUUUUUCUUAUUUCAUAUCACGUUAUCAGCACGAAGCUCUAACCAACUAAGUUUUCUGGCAAUCUUCAAAGAGACAGAUUCAACAGGAAUUUAUCAUUCAUCGCAUCCUGGUUUUAGGGUAUCAAAACUGACAAGUGCCAAACCCUACAAGAAGUUUCCUAGAAGCUGAUAACAUAUACAAACAAAAGUUUUCAGGCAAGUUCAGGUGGCAUUGGAUUUGGGACAUUUUUGCUGAUGUGGCAACUUAUAUUUUUGAGUUUAGGAGGGAAUUCUCAAAUGUCUUCAUCAUUCACGAUUUUAACAAAAAAGUGGCGGGAUCCGGCUGUAAUUCGGGUCACCCAAUAUUAAAAAACGGAUCCUAUAUAUCAUCUUUACCAGACCACCAUAUCUCAUAACCUCACUUUUCACAAACCCUACAUACCAUUUCCUAAAUCUGCUUCUUCGUUUUUCAGAGAUUCAUCGUCCUUAGAUGAGAUUCAUAAGGACGACAAUGUUUUGAUGCUUUCUUCAUCUUCAUGGUUUGCUUGUGGUCUUUCGUAUCCGUCAAAACCCUAAUCGACCAGAGAAAUCGUCAAAAGUUCUUCACAAUAUGAUCGUUCCACAUAAUUUGCAGAUAUGCAUCCCUUGCACAACAGUCCUUCAUUUUUAAAGCUUAUUGAUGAAGAUGACCCGAUAUUUUUGGUGAAGAGUUUCUUUCAGACUCCUUCCCCUACAAGGAACUAUUGAAUGGGUUCCUAUGAGAAGUUGAAGAAAAGUUAUGGAUAAUGAAAACAACGCUCCUUCGUUAUUAAAGUCGAUUGAGGACUAUGAUCCUAUAUUUUUCGAAUUGUUCGUCGACCAAAAACAGUUAUGGAUCAUGAAAACAACGCUCCUUCGUUGUUAAAGUUGAUUGGGGACUAUGAUUCUAUAUUUUUGGUAUGUUUCUUAAGUUUUCAGUUUUGUGCACACAAUAAGUUAUUGCAACUUAUAUGUUUUUUUUUGUUUCGAUUGAUAGGCAAUACCAUAUGAUUUUGCAACCUUAUUGUGGGGAGAACAACUUUCAUAUGUCAAUGUCUUAAAAUUAUUGAUGAUGAUUUAUCGUGAGUCAUUGAGUUAUAAUUUUUGUAUUUAGUUAGUUGUUAAUUCUUUAAAGAUGACUUUGAUUUCAAUUUUAAAGUUGUUUUUGUUUCUAUAAACAGAUUACUGUUGUUAAAGAUUAUUUUUGUAUUCGGAAUUAUGAUUCGGUUUCUGUAAAUAGACUUUGUUUCUAUAAAUAUAUUACCAUUAUAUAUUUUUUAAACAAUGGUUACUUCCUUUGCAGUUAUGGAUCCUAAAAACAACUCUCAUUCGUUGUUAAAGUUGAUUGAGGAAUAUGAUCCUAUAUUUUUGGUAUAUUUCCUUAGUGAUUUGAUUUUUAAAUUUUAAAUUUUUAAAUCAAUCAUUAUUUUAAAUUUAAAUUUGAAAGUUUUCCAUUAAUGUGUUUGAUUUUAAAUUUCGAAUCUGUAAAUUGAAUUUAAAUUUGAAAGGUUAGACUUUCCUAAUAAGUUUGCUUUAUUUACGGGAUUGGAUAUUAGUGAUUUGAUUUUCAGAUUUUAAAUUUUAAAUUUUGAAGUCAAUCAUUAUUUUAAAUUUAAAUUUUGAAGUAAACCAUUAUUGUGUUUGAUUUUAAAUUUUGAAUGCUUUGAAAUCCUGAUAUUUUUUUUUGAGAUGCUUUGACUAUAUUAUUUGUAAUUUUAGGGAUGUGCUUUUAUUUUGAUUCAUUAGGUGUUUAUUUUGGAUGGUCUGGAGUUUUUGGCUGCAACUAUGUUGGACAGAGAUAUGCUUGCUAUUGCUGUAAAUUGGUACCAUGUCGGUUGGUUUUGCUUGGUAAGGUUAGACUUUCCUAAUAAGUUUGCUUGAUUUACGGGAUUAGAUAUUAGUGAUUUGAUUUUCAGAUUUUAAAUUUUAAAUUUUGAAGUUAAUCAUUAUUCUAAAUUUAAAUUUUGAAAUAAACCAUUAUUGUGUUUGAUUUUAAAUUUUCAAUUUCGAAGUCAAUUAUUAUGUUAAAUUUAAAUUUGAAAGUUUGCCAUUAAUGUGUUUGAUUUCAAAUUUCGAAUCUGUAAAUUGAAUAUAAAUUUGAAAAGUUAGUCUUUCCUAAUAAGUUUGCUUGAUUUACGGGAUUGGAUAUUAGUAUACUUUGUUUAUUGGGUUUUAACUAAUAAUUUGAUUGACUCGGUUGUUAGAUUUGUGACGAUGCGUCGGACAAACAACAUUGAGAAAAUAUACAGCCUUGAGCCUUGGUAUGUUAACACAUUAGUUAAGGUUAUGAUGUUUUUUCAUGGCACCGACACAUUAUUGAGUAGUAGCGCAUUAGGUUAGUGAUAUUAAAAUUUGUGCCUUGAGAAAUUUUGUAUUUUGAUUGAUGUUUGAAAUUGAUUGUGAGGUCUUUGAUUGUGCAUUGUAUUGCUGAUUGAUGUGUGAGAUUUUGUUGAUUGGCAUAAGGUAUUAGAUAAGAUGUGUUUGAAAUUGUGAAGAUGAAUAAGUGAGACAUGUGUAGCAGAUAUUAGUGAGUGCACAACACAUUAGUUAGGGUUUUGAAUUAUUGCUACAGGUUAGUGAUGUUAGAGAUUGUGUUAUGAGAAAUGUGUAGAUUGAAUUAUGUCUGUGUUUGAUUGUGACACCUUUGAUUGUGCAUGAAAUUGCUGGUUAUAUGAGAUUUUGUUGAUUGUAGACAAAUAAGUUUGAACAGAACUUAUUAGAUUUGAAAGUUUGCCAUUAAUUUGUUUGAUUUUAAAUUUUAAAACUGUAAAUUGAAUUUAAAUUUGAAAGGUUAGACUUUCCUAAUAAGUUUGCUUGAUUUACGGGAUUGGAUAUUAGUGAUUUGAUUUUCAGAUUUUAAAUUUUAAAUUUUGAAGUCAAUCAUUAUUUUAAAUUUAAAUUUUGAAGUAAUGGCAAUCUGAGUCUGAUUUUUUUCGUGAUUAAUAUCCGCUUGAGUAACCCAAUCUGAGUCUGAUUUUUUUCGUUAACGAUUCUGGUAAACUUUCCCGAUUUGGGUUUUCUGCAAGGCUAAUCAUCUAAAUUAAUUUGUUAUUUUUAUGGUUUACCAUUGCAUAAGUUAGUAUAAUUUGUUGACAAAGUUUUGUUUUGUGGGAUAAUAGUCAUAAAUUGAGUAAUAUUCAAGGUUUAUGUGUUUUUAUUUUUAUUCAUUAAAUAAGAUGUGUUUGAGUAAUUAUAUAUAUAUAUGAGAUUUUGUUGAUUGGCAUAAGGUGUUAGAUAAAAUGUGUUUGAAGUUGUGAAGAUGAAUAAGUGAGACAUGUGUAGCAGAUAUUAGUGAGUGCACAACACAUUAGUUAGGGUUUUGAAUUAUUGCUACAGGUUAGUGAUGUUAGAGAUUGUGUUUUGAGAAAUGUGUAGAUUGAAUUAUGUUUGUUUUUGAUUGUGACAUCUUUGAUUGUGCAUGAAAUUGCUGGUUAUAUGAGAUUUUGUUGAUUGUAGACAAAUAAGUCUGAACAAUUAGAUUCACAUUUAAGUAUAAAAAAUGAGAGGUUGUUAUAAUCUGUUUUAUAUUCUGAAGGAAAAACUAAAAGGAAAAGGAAAAAAAGGAUAAUUUAACACAGAGAAAAGAGGAUAGAGAGAGAGUUGCCAUAUUUUUAAAACCAAAAAUAUAAGAUGACCAAUGUAUAUCUCUAUUUGAGGAAUUCUCCAAAGAUCCAGAGCCGAUUGUUUCAUAGAGAUGUAAAGUUGCGUUAAACAUACUGGAUUUUGAACGAUCCGACAAACCAUUCGAGGUACUUGGAAGAUUAAGUCUCUUAUCUGGGUGGUUGUUACAGGUUUAGGAUGUUAAAUGAUUUUGGAUGUACUCUGCGAUGUCGAUGAUGCGGAGAUGUUGGUAAAGCUCAGGUUAACAACUUCAUGUGUAUAUUUUAAUGAAUAAAGUUUUUGUUGUUUAUAUUUUCUAAUUUAAACUUUUAAUUAACUUCUAAAUUUAAUUAAAUGAGUUUGUUUUGCAGGUUCGAACAACUUCAUGUGUAUAUUUUAUUAUAAAAAAUAAAAGUUUUUUUUUUGUUUCAUGGGUCGUUCAGAGAGGCAAGUUUCUGCCUCCGGUUCUUGCCCGAAGUUUCUAACCUUACUUGCAACCAAUGUUUUAAAAACCGGUUUUUAAGUCAUACCGGGUUGGACUCUAAAAUGGUUCAACCGGUUGAACCGGGUUGUAUCGGGCGGUUGAACCGGGUUAGUAGUUAACCCUAUAAAUAUCAUAAAAUACAAAUUCAUCUCAAAAAACAAUCAAAUCUCAACUUGGAUUUAUGUAACUUAUCAUAGUUUUAUCUAAAAAUAACUAUUUUUAUUGUAAACUAUUAAGCAUUUUAAGAAUAUCUUUAUUAGUUAUAAACAAUAUUGCAUUGUACGAGGUGAGUAACAGUUUCAACCAAUGUUUUAAAAACCGGUUUUUAAGUCAUACCGGGUUGGACUCUAAAAUGGUUCAACCGGUUGAACCGGGUUGUAUCGGGCGGUUGAACCGGGUUAGUAGUUAACCCUAUAAAUAUCAUAAAAUACAAAUUCAUCUCAAAAAACAAUCAAAUCUCAACUUGGAUUUAUGUAACUUAUCAUAGUUUUAUCUAAAAAUAACUAUUUUUAUUGUAAACUAUUAAGCAUUUUAAGAAUAUCUUUAUUAGUUAUAAACAAUAUUGCAUUGUACGAGGUGAGUAACAGUUUCAACCAAUGUUUUAAAAACCGGUUUUUAAGUCAUACCGGGUUGGACUCUAAAAUGGUUCAACCGGUUGAACCGGGUUGUAUCGGGCGGUUGAACCGGGUUAGUAGUUAACCCUAUAAAUAUCAUAAAAUACAAAUUCAUCUCAAAAAACAAUCAAAUCUCAACUUGGAUUUAUGUAACUUAUCAUAGUUUUAUCUAAAAAUAACUAUUUUUAUUGUAAACUAUUAAGCAUUUUAAGAAUAUCUUUAUUAGUUAUAAACAAUAUUGCAUUGUACGAGGUGAGUAACAGUUUCAACAACGAUGAAAUAUUGGAAUAGAAGACACUAGAUUAAUUACCGGAAAUAUGGAAGAACAAUAUUACCUUAACAUCGUAUUUUAUUAAAAUUAAGAAAUCAAAUCUUAAGAAAAUGCAAACCGGUUCAACGGUUUGAACCGGUAGAACCGGAUUUACCGUCGGUACAUAAGACAUACCAUAUUCGGGUUUUACCGGCCUUAUCGUACCGGACUCAUGCCCGAUAUCCGGUUUAACUGGUAUAACCGGCCGGUUUAUACCGGUAUUUAAAACAUUGGUUUCAACAACGAUGAAAUAUUGGAAUAGAAGACACUAGAUUAAUUACCGGAAAUAUGGAAGAACAAUAUUACCUUAACAUCGUAUUUUAUUAAAAUUAAGAAAUCAAAUCUUAAGAAAAUGCAAACCGGUUCAACGGUUUGAACCGGUAGAACCGGAUUUACCGCCGGUACAUAAGACAUACCAUAUUCGGGUUUUACCGGCCUUAUCGUACCGGACUCAUGCCCGAUAUCCGGUUUAACCGGUAUAACCGGCCGGUUUAUACCGGUAUUUAAAACAUUGCUUGCAACCCAUUGACUACAACUUUCAAUUCAAAACAAUUAUAAAAAAUUACGUUUGAAACAUUUAUUUUUAUUUUAUUUAAUGACAUAACUCGAUUAAUAUAAAGUAAAUUUUUCUACCCGCGAAGUUCGCGGGUGAUAACCUAGUUAUCUUAAUAUAUGAAAUGUAGCAACCGGGUCAACCCUGACUGAUCGAUCUCAUUCUAUCGGUGUUGGAACCAGCUUGUCGAACCCUAAAUAAAUAUAUUUAUGGUUUAACUUUUAGUGUAUAAAGUUUAACUUUAGUAUUUAGCUUUAGGAUUUAGCAUUUGAGUUUAGCUCAUAGUGUUUAUAGUUUAGAUUUUAGGAGCUUAGGGUUUAGGCUUACGGUUUAGAUUUAAUUAGGGUUUAAUUAAGGUAUAGCUUUAAGGGGUUAGGGUUUCUUGUUGGGUUCGAUAAGUCGGUUCUAACGUGCUAGUAAUUGGUGCAUUUUACAUACACGUUAAUAGAUAUUUAUUAUGGUAAAAAUGCAUUGCUAUUAAUAUAAAAGACAAUACAUUGAUUUCAUUUUGUAUUUUGUGGGCUACAAAGAAAACGAGCUAAAAUGAUCAAACUAAACAAAUGGUGAUAUAAAAAUGAGCUAAAAUGAUCAAACUAAACAAAUCGUGAUAUAAAAAUAUAUGUUAGCAAAAAUUAAUUAAAAUAAAUCAAAUGGUGGUGGUUUGUUAUGAAAGCUACAAGGAAACAAAAAUAUGGUUGUUUCACUUUUGUAGGCAUACCUACGAAUGAAAGUAAAUUAUGAGUCAAAGUGGUGAAAUUAAAUUAAUUGCAAAUUUGGUCUUAGAAAAUUGUUCAGAAGGAAAUAAUUGGAAAAGAGGCUUCAAAUUAAGAAUGUGGUAAGUAAUAAAGUUACGUGGGCUCGAAAAGUGGAUUAAUUAAUCUAAUGGGCUGGAAUUAAAUGAUGAUGCGGCCCAUAAGAAGAAUUACUAAAAAGGAACGCAGCAGGUUUUAGCAAGAGGAGAAAUUGAGAGUUUUGCUUUUGUGUUGGCAUAACGACUGUUAAGUGGUAGUCGGCGGUAUGGUUUUCUGGAGAAAUGCUCAAAAAAGCCAAAUUUGAAGCCAGCGUAGGCACGGUUUACACAACAUAGUCUGGCUAAAGUGGGUCAGUACAGGACUCCCCAAUUUGUAGAGUGUGGCAACCUUAUACAUGAAGUUAAUCGUUCAAAAAAAUAAAAUUGAAUAGCGUUGUUUUGAGGCCUUUGGCUGUUGGCACGCAAAUCAAGAAGGAUGAAAGACUUUGGAGUUAGUCGGUUUUGACGGGAUGAGCUUGAUGUUGGGAUGACAACUAUGCACGGCUAAUUCUCCUGUGACUUUCUUCUGGUGACGUUUAGUAGGGUUUAAUACUUUUCUCAAUUUUAUUUAGAUUUGGAUUUGUUUUUGACAUUGUCAACGUUGUAUAAACAAUUUGAUGUGUUGGUUUU